UGAGAAAAACAGGCAAUCGCGGCGAGGCUGACGAUGCUCUGCCUCGUCUGACUUCGCCGAGGAAAGUCCGAACUCCACAGAGCAGGAUGCUGGCUAAUGGCCAGUGAGGGUGACCUCAAGGAAAGUGCCACAGAAACAUACCGCCCGCCAUGCAGCCUACCUUUCGUAAGGUAGGCUGUGCGUAGACGGGUAAGGGUGAAAUGGUGAGGUAAGAGCUUCACCGGCGGCCAGGUGACUGGCUGGACGGGUAAACCCCAUCUGGAGCAAGACCGAAUAGAAGGUGAGCGGCCCCUGGGCCGCUCGCAGGUGGCUCGCCUGUCAACCUUCGGGUUGGUCGCUUGAGGUGUCAGGUAACUGACACCCUGGAUAGAUGAUUGCCACUGAGAGCAUCGUAAGGUACUCUCAGCACAGAAUUCGGCUUAUGGGUUUCUCAGACC
rnacentral:RNase_P_RNA from 1 species